AAAAAUUAUUUGUCUUAAUAUUUUGCCUACUUUAGGCUUGAUAAAAUGUAAACAUUGAUAGUCCUAGCUACAACCAUUGAUGGCAGAUGCUGCUUUACAGGCUCAUUUGUUAAUUCAGUUUUGGAGAAGUUUCCCUCUUUUUCUGGAAGGCUUGUUUAUAGAUAUACUUUUAUUCCUGCAUUUCAGCACAUUGACAGUAAUAGGCAAUACUUCAUUUGCAGCUAUUGCAUUUCUUCCAGAAAUUCCUCUUCCUCUUAUCCAGUUUACCAUGUAAAAUUCUAUACCUUAAUUUUGAGAAGAUAUGUUUGCUAAGUAUCAAUCCACAAUGGUGUUUCCAUCUCUAUUAUGCAAAGAAAAAGUCUCAAACCUGUUUGAAUACUUGUCCCAUUUAUUUCUCAGUAAGUAGCUGCUGUGGAAUGCUGUGAGACUCUGCAGAUGUUCUUGAUAAAGGUCUACUUGUGGAGAUCCCCAUCUUUGGAAGAUGAACCUGGUGACUUCUGGGUGAAGGGAUCACUCGUGGCCCAGUGUUUGGAAGGUGGCUUGGACCAGGCUGAUGCUAUUCUUUACUUGGGCCUUUGGGCAACCCUUGAUCAGCCAGUCAUCGAGGUACAGGGAGACUUGAACACCUUGUCUUCUGGUUCCCUUCAUCUGAACACAUGGAAGCUCCAUAGCUGAACCCGGAAAAGCAAGCCUGUUCGGAACACGUUGGACGGGUCUUGCUGGGUAGUAGGAGGCCAUCCACUAUGGUUACCUACCUCGCCAAGUGGAAGCGUUUCUCAAUAUGGUUGUCCUAAUGAGGCCUUUCUCCAACUCAGUCUUCCCUUCAGUCUACUCUGGACUGUUUGCUCCACCUAAAACAAGUCUGGCCUCACAUCUAUCAAGGUGCACCUGGCAACAAUUUCGGCCUUCCAUCCACCAGUGGGUGGUAGGUCAUUUUUCUCUCACGAGAUUACAUUCUGCUUUCUUAAGGGGUUAGAGAGACUUUACCAUCAGGUGUGUGAACUGAUUCCCUUGUGAGGUGUGAAUUGAUUCCCUCGUGAGAUUUGAACUUGGUCCUAUUGAAACUCAUGGGCCCUCCCUUUGAGCCAGUAGCAUUGUGUCCUCUUCUGUUUCUCUCCUGAAAGGUUGCCUUCCUGAUAGCAAUUACCUCAGCCAGAAGAGACUCUGAAAUCAGGGCCCUUACGUCAGAACCACUGUAUACAGUAUUUGUCAAGGACAAGGUUCAGCUGAGUCCUCAUCCGGCCUUUCUGCCAAAGGUGGGCUUGCAGUUCCAUACCAACCAUGUCAUUUUCCUGCCAGUCUUCUUCCCGAAGCUGCACAAAAAUUCAGAAGAGCAGCAGCUUCGCUCGUUGGAUGUUAGACAUGUCCUCUCUUCUGUAUCAAGAUGACUUUGUGGCAAUAGCAGAGAGGAUGAAAGGCCUACCAGUUUCAGCCCAGAUAAUCUCAUUCUGCAUAACCUCUUGUAUUUGGGCAUGCUACGAGGAGGUGAAUGUUCCACUGCCUGCCAUCUUGACUGCUCAUUACAUGAGAGCUCAGGCUUCUUCAGCAGCAUUUCUGGCCCGGGUUCCGAUCCAAGACAUCUGCAGGGCCACAACCUGGUCAUCAGUGCAUACCUUCUCAUCCCACUACGCCAUCACCCAACAGGCUCAUGAUGAUGCCACAUUUGGGAGAGCAAUGUUGCAAUACGCAUGUCCAUGAACUCUGAGCCCACAUCCUUUGGAUACUGUUUGUGAGUCACCUAACAUGGAAUGGGCAAGCACUCGCAGAAGAAAAAACUGUUAUUGACCUUCCUUAACUGUUGUUCUUUGAGGUGUGUUGCUCA